GUCUAUGGCCUUACCAUCCUGAACAUGCCCUAUGUUGUCUGAUCUCAGAAGGUAAGCAGGGGUAGGUCUGGUAAGUACUGGAGACUGUGUGGGAAUACCAGGUGCCUCAGACU
ensembl:rRNA 5S_rRNA 5S ribosomal RNA